GUCUCUCUCUCUCCACCCUCCUCAAACUUACUCUCUCACACCUCUCUCUUUUGUAAUCUAUUUUUCGUCGGAAACCAGAACUCUCUCUCUCUCUCUCUCUCUCUCUCUCUCUCUCUCUAUCCUCAUGAUUCUUCAACCGUGUCUCUCAAAUCUCAUCUACAAAUAUUUCCUGUGUUUGGUCUCAAAGAAAAUGAAGAAAACUGCAACCUAGAUCAGCCGACGAAGAACACGGUUAUUCUUCAUGGGAAAGAUCGUGUAUAUGUUAACAGUCUGCAUCUUGUGUUGUAAUAUGUGCUAAGGGAAAUACAAAUGAACGAUGGAAGAAGCAGCAACCGCAGUGCAAAGAGGGUGUUUUUGUUUCUGGCUUUGUUCUUGUUUGGUUUUCGUGUAUAUGGUAUAGUGUUUUAGUGAUUUUGUAGAAAUUUCGAAAUCUUAGAAAUCUUCCUCCUUAAAUCGGAGAGGUUGAUUUUUUUCUUUUUUAAAUCUGGGUGUAAUGUUCUCUAAUGAAGAAUUUUUGAAGUGUGAA